rnacentral:rRNA from 1 species
AAAGGAAUAGACGGGGGCCCGCACAAGCGGUGGAGCAUGUGGUUUAAUUCGACGCAACGCGAAGAACCUUACCAAGGCUUGACAUCUACAGAAUCUCUAAGAAAUUAGGGAGUGCCCUUUUGGGAACUGUAAGACAGGUGGUGCAUGGUUGUCGUCAGCUCGUGUCGUGAGAUGUUGGGUUAAGUCCCGCAACGAGCGCAACCCCUAUAUUCAGUUGCCAGCACGUAAAGGUGGGAACUUUGGAUAGACUGCCGGUGACAAACCGGAGGAAGGUGGGGAUGACGUCAAAUCAUCAUGCCCCUUAUGUCUUGGGCUACACACGUGCUACAAUGGACGGUACAGACGGUUGCGAAGCCGUGAGGUGGAGCUAAUCCGAGAAAGCCGUUCUCAGUUCGGAUUGCAGGCUGCAACUCGCCUGCAUGAAGUCGGAAUCGCUAGUAAUCGCAGGUCAGCACACUGCGGUGAAUACGUUCCCGGGCCUUGUACACACCGCCCGU